rnacentral:rRNA from 1 species
CCCUACGGGGCGCAGCAGGCGCGAAAACUUCACAAUGUGCGAAAGCACGAUGAGGGAAUCCCAAGUGCUUGCACGUAAGUGUAAGCUGUUUCUUUGUUUAAAAUGCAAUGAGAGUAAGGGCUGGGUAAGACGGGUGCCAGCCGCCGCGGUAAUACCUGCAGCUCGAGUGGUGGCCGCUAUUAUUGGGCCUAAAACGUCCGUAGCCUGUUUAUUAAAUGCCUGGGUAAAUCGUGUAGCUCAACUAUACGAAUUCCGGGUAGACUGAUAAACUUGAGAUCGGGAGAAGUUAGAGGUACUCCUGGGGUAGAGGUGAAAUUCUGUAAUCCUAGGGGGACCACCAGUGGCGAGGGCGUCUGACUAGAACGAGUCUGACGGUGAGGGACGAAGCCCUGGGGCGCAAACCGGAUUAGAUACCCGGGUAGUCCAGGGUGUAAACGCUGCUUGCUUGAUGUUAGUCGGGCUCCGAGCCCGAUUAGUGUCGGAGAGAAGUUGUUAAGCAAGCUGCCUGGGAAGUACGGUCGCAAGGCUGAAACUUAAAGGAAUUGGCGGGGGAGCAC